AUUGAACGCUGGCGGCAGGCCUAACACAUGCAAGUCGAACGAGUGGCGGACGGGUGAGUAAUGUCUGGGAAACUGCCCGAUGGAGGGGGGUAACUACUGGACACGGUAGCUAAUACCGCAUACCAUCGGAUGUGCCCAGAUGGGAUUAGCUAGUAGGUGGGGUAACGGCUCACCUAGGCGACGAUCCCUAGCUGGUCUGAGAGGAUGACCAGCCACACUGGAACUGCGACACGGUCCAUACUCCUCCGGGAGGCAGCAGUGGGGAAUAUUGCACAAUGGGCGCAAGCCUGAUGCAGCCAUGCCGCGUGUAUGAAGAAGUCCUUGGGGUUGUAAAGUACUUUCAGCGAGGAGGCGUUACGCGCAGAAGAAGCACCGGCUAACUCCGUGCCAGCAGCCGCGGUAAUUC
rnacentral:rRNA from 1 species